CCUACGGGAGGCAGCAGUAGGGAAUCUUCCGCAAUGGACGAAAGUCUGACGGAGCAACGCCGCGUGAACGAUGAAGGCCUUCGGGUCGUAAAGUUCUGUUGUUAGGGAAGAACAAGUGCUAGUUAAAUAAGCUGGCACCUUGACGGUACCUAACCAGAAAGCCACGGCUAACUACGUGCCAGCAGCCGCGGUAAUACGUAGGUGGCAAGCGUUGUCCGGAAUUAUUGGGCGUAAAGCGCGCGCAGGCGGUUUCUUAAGUCUGAUGUGAAAGCCCCCGGCUCAACCGGGGAGGGUCAUUGGAAACUGGGAAACUUGAGUGCAGAAGAGGAAAGUGGAAUUCCAAGUGUAGCGGUGAAAUGCGUAGAGAUUUGGAGGAACACCAGUGGCGAAGGCGACUUUCUGGUCUGUAACUGACGCUGAGGCGCGAAAGCGUGGGGAGCAAACAGGAUUAGAUACCCUGGUAGUCCACGCUGUAAACGAUGAGUGCUAAGUGUUAGAGGGUUUCCGCCCUUUAGUGCUGAAGUUAACGCAUUAAGCACUCCGCCUGGGGAGUACGGUCGCAAGACUGAAACUUAAAAGGAAAUUGACGG
rnacentral:rRNA from 1 species